rnacentral:lncRNA from 1 species
CUUCGGGAAUGUUUUUCAUUGUUAAAUUUUGUAUGGUUGUGUAAAAGUUCAAUGUAGUGCUAUCAAAUAAAUUCACAUACGCUAGAAUGUGUUUGAAAUUACGGUGAAAUGAUUCUAAAUAACGGUAUAAUUAAUUUGUCAAAUAUUGUAUAUAUAUCCUAUAAACUGAACUUGCUUUUGGAAUAAAGUAUUAUUAAAAAUAUAAGUGAUGGAGAAAUAUUAGAAAUACUAAGUAACUGUUUUAUUUCUGUGCCUUUUCGUCUCCUCUUUGAUGACUGAAAUUUGACAAGUUAUAACAAUCUCAACUACUUAGAAAAAACAAAAACAAGAUAUAACUUUCUGUGUAUAUAUAUAGUACUGUUUUGUUUCUGAUAAGUUUAGAUAAAAUUUAUAAAAAGGGGGGAAACACAUACCAAGAGCGUACUAAAGUCCAAAAACAACUGACAACACCAUGAUCAAAAAGGAACAUGACUAACGACAAACAAAUACAAAACACUAUAAAAAGACCUAAAGAUCGAUCAAUACGAACCAGACAAAAAACGGAAAAGGGAGAGAGAGGGGGGAGGGGGUGAACUCAGAUCGCAAUGUGUAAAUUUAUAUGAUAAACGGUAUUCAAUAAACUCCUAGUUGGAUGUUAUAUUCAAUAUGUAUAUUACAGGUUUAAUGCACAUCAACUAUACUCUAGAAUAAAUGUUUCGGAAGUCAAAAGAAAUUUUAGCGAAUAAUUUUACUACCUAUUUGAAUACAAAAUUAAGUGCAUCCGAUCAAACAUCGCCAAACAAGUUUUGCGAGCUUUACAAUUUUAAGUCCUGAGCAAUUAGCCUUUCAAUAGAUCAAUAUUUUAUAUUGUCGGCAUAUUCUUGUAAUCAUGUAUUUGUUAUGUUAAUGAGAUAUUUAUUGUAUGUUAUUUGUUAUGAACAUCACAUAGAUUGUAACCAGUAUGGAUAUAUAUUUUUGUGACGAAAAUAAAGUGGU